rnacentral:rRNA from 1 species
GAUGAACGCUGGCGGCGUGCCUAAUACAUGCAAGUCGAGCGAACGGACGAGAAGCUUGCUUUUCUGAUGUUAGCGGCGGACGGGUGAGUAACACGUGGAUAACCUACCUAUAAGACUGGGAUAACUUCGGGAAACCGGAGCUAAUACCGGAUAAUAUUUUGAACCGCAUGGUUCAAAAGUGAAAGACGGUCUUGCUGUCACUUAUAGAUGGAUCCGCGCUGCAUUAGCUAGUUGGUAAGGUAACGGCUUACCAAGGCAACGAUGCAUAGCCGACCUGAGAGGGUGAUCGGCCACACUGGAACUGAGACACGGGCCAGACUCCUACGGGAGGCAGCAGUAGGGAAUAUUCCGCAAUGGGCGAAAGCCUGACGGAGCAACGCCGCGUGAGUGAUGAAGGUCUUCGGAUCGUAAAACUCUGUUAUUAGGAAAGAACAUAUGUGUAAGUAACUGUGAACAUCUUGACGGUACCUAAUCAGAAAGCCACGGCUAACUACGUG